rnacentral:tRNA from 1 species
AAGGUUUUAAGUUAAAAUAAACUAAUAAUCUUCAAAAUUAUCUAUAAAGAAAUGAUUCUUUAAGCCUUA